UCUGUUUUAGGUGUAUAAUCUUGUAGAUCUAUUCUUGCUGAUUGAUCUGAUAUAAAAUUCAUGUGAAAUGGUUGAGUAUUGCAUGAGUUAUGCUUGAUUAAAGUUUUGUACCUCAAAAGGUUUUUGCUCGAUUUGCUUCGUACAUGAUGAAUUGCUGUGAAUUAUUAGUGGAUUCGUGUUCCUUGUGUGAUAACGGUUCGAUUGGUGUAAA
rnacentral:lncRNA from 1 species